rnacentral:lncRNA from 1 species
CAUUAUUCACUCCAGCAUUAUUGACCAAAAUGUCCAGUCUUCCAAAGUGGUCUACAACUUUUCUAAAAGUGUCUAAUUAUAAAACAAGAUAUUAGUGAUACAUUCUUAUUUUCCAUGUAUACAUUUAAAUCAUGUCCUAUGCCAUGAGAGGAAUUUCAGUUUAUUUACCCUCAUAGUGAAAGUUACUAAACUCAUGGGCUGAGUGUAAUUAAUUCCUUGUUUCUCAAUGUGUGGUUUGUGGACUAGAAGCAUCAAUCUGGCAGCUUGGUAAGAAUGCAGAAUUUUGCAGACACCACAGACUAACUGAAUAAGAAUCUUAACUUUAACAUAUUCUUACAUGAUUUGUAUGCACAUUGAAGUUCUAUAAGCAGUAACUUAAUGGGGUACAUUUUAGAGAACUGAGCUAAGAUCCUAAGCUAAGAGCUCGUUGAAGUCAGUUAGAGCAAGCAAUGUCUCUUAGUCCCUGAGAAGCUACUGAAGCUCUGUAGCUUAGACUAUUGGUAAACAUCCUUUUCCAUAAGCCAUAUUAAAUUCAUAAAGUGUUAUGUUAAUACAAAUAUUCUUGUGUAUUCAGAUCUAUUAUGCAUGUUUGGGGGAGUUUUUAUAUCUUAGUAAAAGUCUACUUUUCAUUCAGUUGAUUUUAUUUGAUUACUGAAACUUCGAUGUUUACUAUUUCCUUCUUCUUUCUCACUAUUAUUACUACUUCAGAUUACUAGGAUUACUAGUUUGUAUAAAACUAUGUUCAAACAGGAUAAAGUUGGCAUGGAUUCUGAGGCCUGAAUGUCUUUCAUUACACUGUCCAAUCACAUGUCUAUUGUUUCUCAAAGCAGCCUUUGACAGAGUUCUAAUUGAUUUAAACUGUUUCCCCGGGCCUUUGAUCAUUCAUUCUACUUCUAUUAUUUUACACUAUGGAUAAAAAUUGUGGUUGUUUUUCUACAUGACGGAAAUAUAUUCUCAGGUGUCCAGACCAACAUAUCAAGUCCUUAAAAAAAGUAGGUCAGCAUAAGCUUUAUUUUGAUUGAAAUAAAUUCAUAUAAUCAUUAACAACCACCAGACAUAUUGGGGAAGACAUGGAUUAAUCAGUUGCCAUAUAGAUAAAUUACUAUGCUAGUUGUUUACUAAAAACAUUUUCAAGAUUUCCUAAUAUGUACCUUUUACACUCACUGUACGGGAAUGGAAGAACAACAAACACAAACUGUUUAUUUUUCAUGGAUUUUUUUUUUUUUGAGUCGGAGCCUCGUUCUGUCCCCCAGGCUGGAGUGCAGUGGCCUGAUCUCAGCUCACUGCAAGCUCCACCUCCCGGGUUCACGCCAUUCUCCUGCCUCAGCCUCCAGAGUAGCUGGGACUACAGGCGCCCACCACCACGCCCGGCUAAUUUUUUGUAUUUUUAGUAGAGACGGGGUUUCACCGUGUUAGCCAGGAUGAUCUCUGUCAGGCCUCUGAGCCCAAGCUAAGCCAUUAUAUCCCCUGUGACCUGCACAUAUACAUCCACAUGGCCUGAAGUAACUGAAGAAUCACAAAAGUAGUGAUACUUAAAUGGCCUGUUCCUGCCUUAACUGAUGACAUUCCACCACAAAAGAAGUGAAAAUGGCCGGUCCUUGCCUUAACUGAUGACAUUACCUUGUGAAAUUCCAUCUCCUGGCUCAUCCUGGCUCAAAAAGCUCCACCACUGAGCACCUUGUGACCCCCACUGCUGCCCACCAGCGGGCAACCCCCCUUUUUCCUUUACCUACCCAAAUCUUAUAAAAUAGCCCCACCCCUAUUUCCCUUUGCUGACUCUCUUUUCCGACUCAGCCAGCCUGCACCCAGGUGAAAUAAACAGCCUUGUUGCUCACACAAAGCCUGUUUGGUGGUCUCUUCACACAGACGCGAGUGAAAGUCUCGAUCUCCUGACCUCGUGAUCCGCCCGCCUCGGCCUCCCAAACUGCUGGGAUUACAAGCGUGAAGCCACUGCACCCGGCCUUUUUUCAUGGAAUCUUAAAAAUGUUUCUUAAAAUCUCAAAUUGGGUCCAGAAAAUGUCCCCCAGUAUUUUUUUUUUCUCCUUCCAUUCUGAGUAUGUUCUAACUCUUCAUAACUCCACAGAAACAACCUUCACCUUUUGGAAAAUGAGGGUGUUAAAUAUGUAUGUCUAAUUGCCGCUUUAAUUUUCUUUCCUCAUUCUGUUCUCCACCGUAUUCCUUAUACUCUGCCCUUACCAAUGUAUAGUAUACCAUCUUGUUUUCUGACAUCCCAUUGAAUUCCAGGCUCAAGCAACAGACAGUCUACCUCUUGCUGACAUUUAUAUGCUAUGGUACUCUUUGUAACUUACCUAAACUCUCUUGGCUGUGAUUUGUUCAUUUGGAAAAUAAGUUAUGUUUAGAUUAUCUCCAAGAAACUUUUCAUCUCAUAUUUUUAUAAUUUCCACACUGUCUAAACAAUUUUAAAAGUUAUAGGCAACAUUAAAUCCUGAAACUGGAAGAAUCAAUGUCAUGUUUCCUUUAGAUGCAAGCAAAUGCUCAUGUCCAGACAACAUGUGGAUUUCUCAUGACCAACAUGCCUUCCCGGGUCACUUAUGUGUCUGAGUAUUUUUCCUCCUCCACAAUCAUUUAUCCUUAAGGAAUGAGUUUAUAGCCAAGGUAUUAAUUUUAAAUACUGGGAAAAAAACAAUUGUAGUUAAAUGUCAUUUAUGAAACUAUAUAAAUUGAGACAGAAAUGGCUUUCAGAUUGUUUAUACUGUUCCUUAUGCCAUCAGCAUGAAUGUUGAGAUCUGACCUGGCUCUAUCCUUGAUCCAAAAUAUCAUGUGCAAUCAACAUAAUUGUCCUCUGGUACAAUAUGUUCCUCUUGCAUUGUGUUUACAAAUCUGUUCUGCUCAUGCUUGUCAUCUGUGUUAUAGGUCUUUAUUAGCAUUUUCAGAUUUCAGUUAUGUAAUUUCCUUUACAAUUUCUCUUAACUGUUGGUACACCACUUCCUUCUAACACGUCAGUUCAUUUUCAUUCUCUUACAGAAUAUUUUAAAAUUUUAAAAUAAAUGUACAUUUGAUGUCCCUUUAAGAACAGGAGCACUGGAAUAAGAUUUGCAAAAGUUUUCAGACCCCUUGAUUAAAAAGUGCCUUACAAUUUACUCAGUCUCUUUGAAUAAAACUUUGUGAAAUACAAAUAUUUUACUUUUCUAGUUUUUCUCCAGAAUUUUUGUUUCCUGUAAGUUUAUUGGGGCACUCUCAAGUUCUCCAAUAGAUGUACAAAAAAAAAAAAAACAGCUUUAUAAUCAAAGCUGUUUAUUGUGUAUGCCAAUAUUGUCCCUGAUACUUCACAAGUAGAUUGGUCUAUUUUAAGUGAGUAGCCGGAAACAGGAAAGCAUUGAGGAAAGGCUGAUAGAGAUGUUUCUACUACAAUUCUAACAUUGUAUACUUUAUUAUGAUUACUAUUAUUAUUAUUUUAAAGUACUGUCUCAUUGGGGAAAAAGCCGGAGAAAACAUAUGGUCAAAAGCAUCUAGCACUUCUGUGAUGAUGCUCCUUGAACUUGUAUUCUGAUAUGUUUAAACGAAAAACACUGCCACAUUUGAUUGUCAUUGGACUCCAGCUUUCUGGGAGAAGUUGUUUGUCAACAGUACCUUACUUAACCUACUUUAAUUUUCCAAGUUUUGUCUGCAAUUUCAAUCAUUUAAUAAUUACUGCAGCAGCACUGUCUUUGAAUACAUAAAGGAAUUUUGAUUACAUUAAUGCUGCCAAAUGACUACAAUAAAAGGAUUUCUCCAGCAGUCUUGCCUUUCUUUCGGUUUUACAGCUAUUGGGCUGUCAGAAGGAAACGUAUCAGUCCAAACUGUCUUUUGGAGCUUCAAGGUAGCUGCUCUCGAGGAGGCAGCGGAGGCGGCACCCAGGGCCCCCUGGCCGGGCUGCCUUCAGGUUGUUGCUUGUUGAGAGCACGUUCCCAGUUGACAGAUUGAUUCCCCUGUCUUACCUCUCAGUUGUUGCUGGUCAGCCACAUCGCACUGGAUGAACAGAGUCUUCUGAGGUUCAAACUGCUCAUCCAGGGCAGCUUUACACUGUACACCUGCUUCAAGAUUCCAAUCCACCAGCGCUACCUAUAGACAAGAGGAGAGGAAUCGCGGGCCUGCGCAGCUCACGAAAUAGACGGACAAACAAUAAACACACAAGAGGCUCCCCUCCUGGACCUGAAAUUUGGCAAUUAGGUUUGGGUUCCCUCCCAGCCACUUCUGAGGUGUGCUCACAGCCUCAGCUUCAGCAAAUUUUGGAAGUGGCAAAGUGGGCACGCCGGGCGCGGCCUCCCUGUCUCCGCCAGUGCACCUCGGGCGGCGGGGCGAGUCUCGGAGUGUGUGGGCAGAGAAAUUUCCGCGGCUGGGCGCCGGGCUUACCUUGGCGCCCUUAAGCAGCAGCGCCUCUGCAAAGGCUCUGCCUAUGCCCUGAGCCGCGCCGGUCACCAGCGCCACUUUGCCGUUCACGUGCAUGGUGCAGCCACUGCUGGGGCGGGCGGUGGGCGAGCUCCGCGUCUCCGCGCGGCCGCGGCUUUUAUGCCCCCCUGCGCGCGCGCGCGUGCAGCCCGGCGGGGCGCUCCCCUGCCAGUGGGCGGGGAGGAAACUGUCAAGCCAGCGCCCGCCGGGGAACCCACGACUGUGUCACCUGCCCCCUGAGCGUUCUGGAGCGCCAAGCUUCGCGAUCUUUGCCUUCCGGACUCGCAGACCGGCUCAAAGCCUCCCCUCAGCCUCUGGCUCCGUGAUUGGCAGGCAGCUGACAGAAGAAAAGUUAAAAGGUUAUUUCUGAAGAAGAGUUUCCUUCAGUGCCCUAAAGACCAACUGGAUAGAAGGAGAGCGGAGCAGAGGCUUGGAAGCUUGGAUCCCUCCUCCUGCACUCCCUCCCGGCCCCGACUCCGGAACAAAACAAGCAAACAAUAAAGCAAACUUGUUGCUCUUUUGUCUCAAAGUUUUGUGUGAGUUCCCAUCUCGUAAUCAGUGGGGUUGAGGGUGACGGGGAGCAGAAGUAACUAAUAUCAUUGUGUUUUCUUAGUUACAUUUUGGACAAAUUUUUACGGAUACUGGAGAUGAGAAGUGGACUCUGCUCUGUCCUGAAAACCUGGAAUCAUAACAUUUCAUGGCUAGGACUAGAGUGUCCUUGGCGCUGUGUUUCUGGUCAGUGUCAAUUGUGUGUCAUAUUGAGAUGCCCCCACAAAAACUGUCAUCAUCAACAGGCGCUCCAGAGCCGCUGGUAGCCUACCAAAUUGUUGGCUCAAUGGAAUGCUUACUUGUUGAAAUACACCAACUUUGGAAGCUCUGAGUCAAGUUUGGGACAGAGGUUCCUUGCUCUCCAGGAACUCCAGGGCUAGCUGUAUGCGGACUUGCAUAAAUAACAAGGGCUAUUCCACUGACUUUGUCUCUUUUUCUCAGGUUGUCAGCGGCAGGCUGCAAUUUUAAUUCUGUAAACGUAAGUGGUUGGCUUUUUUUUUUUUUUUUUUUUUUUAAUCUUGAGACAAGAUCUCGCUCUGUCUGUUUGGCUAGAAUGCAGUGGCAUAAUCCCAGCUCGCUGCAACCUCAAUCUCCAGGGCUCAAGCGACCCUCCCACCUUGGACUCCCAAAGAGUGCUAAGAUUACAGGCAUGAGCCACUAUGCCCAGCUGGCAUUUAUUUUCUUAAAGAAAAAAAAAAUCUAAAUACUUGGGGGAAAUGGGAGUUGAGCAAAAGACUGACACUAACAGCAGAAUGAAUCAUUUUUAUAUCUUCUUUACCUUCUUUACUGGGAAAGGUGGCUGGCUCAGCAGGGAAGGAGUGUAUGAGGAGACUGUGUAAAAUGUGUCUUGUCGCGUUGUUGGUAAGCCGCUAAGCAAAUGUCUUUAACAUUAAUUUGAAAUUAGGUCUUGACAAAAUCUUGAGAAAUUAAAACAGGAAAAUAGAUAUUUGUACUCUAGGAUGAUAAUUAAAAUUGUAAUAUGAAGAGUAAAUUGAGGGGUCAUAUUGAAAGGGAAUAAUAGUAGAAGACAAAAAGAAAACAAGGAACCAAACAAAACUUCAGCUCCUCUAAUGGCAUGCACAGAACAUAGAAGUUUCUGAUGAAGGAACUGGCAAAAAAGACAGAAAAGGAACUGCUGGGGUAAAAUGGCAACAUGCUGGGAGAACACAGGUUUGCAGCUCUUGUGGGAGAAAUACUUUCAAGAAGAAAGAAGUAGUUAAUAAUGCAAAAUACUCAGGUGAGCACCAGGGAAUAAAGGAUGGAGAAAUAUUUUGAAUUUUUCAGGACAAUAUUUAGUGUGAGUAAAUUUAGAAGGCACAAAAACUGAACAGCUGAAAUGAUCUGUGAGAAGAUAGAUAUUGUCAUGGACUGAAGACCAAGGUUACAUGGAAAGAGAAAUGGACUGGAUAAUAGUUGAAAAGAUUAGACAGCAAACAUGUUUUUCUUUUAAGAAAAGAUAAGAAGAUUGAUUGAGGUCAAAGUGCAAUGAGUCAAGGAUAGUGACAACUGGAAGAACAGGAAGCAGUUUGGCGGUGGCGGAUAGGUGAGGCACAAGGACGUCAGCACUGGAUUCAGACAAACCGGCGUGUAUUGCGCGUGUACUUUGGGUGGCCCUGUGCUGCGUCAGCUGGAAGGGAUCCAGAGAAAAAGACAGAGCCCUCUUUGAAGACAUCCAGAGAGAGAUCUAGGAUGUUGGGAAGGAACAAAGAAAUUCAGGCAUCUCUCCUGAGAAGAGAAAGGGAGUAGAAUGCUCCAUCAUGAUGCUAACCACAAGAAUUGACUUGACGGGACAGAAUCAAGGGGAAGAACGUCAGUGAAACUUCUGGUGACAAUCACCCACUUAGGUCUUUAUUUUCCAUUUUUGCAUUUGUCAUACUUUUCAUAGUAAUGAAAACAAAUAUGUUGUGUAUAAUACUGGAUGUCAGCCUAUACAUUUGGUUUUUAAAUUUGGGGAAGGAAACUUCUUUCCACUCGAUUGAGCAGUUUCAUCUUUGCAAUGUAUUUAUUCUUUCUGAACUUUUGGGUAGUGUCCUCGUAUUAGUCUG